rnacentral:tRNA from 2 species
GCCGCCAUGGUGAAAUCGGUAGA